UUCGUACGUAGCAGAGCAGCUCCCUCGCUG
rnacentral:piRNA from 5 species